rnacentral:rRNA from 1 species
AGCGAACGCUGGCGGCAGGCCUAACACAUGCAAGUCGAACGAACUCUUCGGAGUUAGUGGCGGACGGGUGAGUAACACGUGGGAACGUGCCUUUUGGUUCGGAAUAACUCAGGGAAACUUGUGCUAAUACCGAAUGUGCCCUUCGGGGGAAAGAUUUAUCGCCAUUAGAGCGGCCCGCGUCUGAUUAGCUAGUUGGUGAGGUAACGGCGCACCAAGGCGACGAUCAGUAGCUGGUCUGAGAGGAUGACCAGCCACACUGGGACUGAGACACGGCCCAGACUCCCACGGGAGGCAGCAGUGGGGAAUCUUGCGCAAUGGGCGAAAGCCUGACGCAGCCAUGCCGCGUGAAUGAUGAAGGUCUUAGGAUUGUAAAAUUCUUUCACCGGGGACGAUAAUGACGGUACCCGGAGAAGAAGCCCCGGCUAACUUCGUG